AACGAGGAAAGGCGCUACGGCGCCGGCCUGAAGAUGAGCUUGCGUCCCAUUAGCUAGUUGGUGAGGUAACGGCCCACCAAGGCGAUGAUGGGUAGCCGGCCUGAGAGGGUGUACGGCCACACUGGGACUGAGAUACGGCCCAGACUCCUACGGGAGGCAGCAGCUAAGAAUAUUCCGCAAUGGACGAAAGUCUGACGGAGCGACGCCGCGUGGAUGAAGAAGGCCGAAAGGUUGUAAAGUCCUUUUGCUGGGGAAGAAUAAUGUCAGGAGGGAAUGCCUGGCAGAUGACAUGAACCGGCGAAUAAGCCCCGGCUAACUACGUGCCAGCAGCCGCGGUAACACGUAGGGGGCGAGCGUUGUUCGGAAUUACUGGGCGUAAAGGGCAUGUAGGCGGCCUUGUAAGCCUGGCGUGAAAUUCCACGGCUUAACCGUGGGAAUGCGUUGGGAACUGCGAGGCUUGAGUGACGGAGAGGGAGCUAGAAUUCCUGGUGUAGGGGUGGAAUCUGUAGAGAUCAGGAAGAAUACCAAUGGCGAAGGCAAGCUCCUGGCCGAUGACUGACGCUGAGGUGCGAAAGUGUGGGGAUCAAACAGGAUUAGAUACCCUGGUAGUCCACACUGUAAACGAUGUGCACUAGGUGCUGGGGCGGAUGCUUCAGUGCCGUAGCUAACGUGAUAAGUGCACCGC
rnacentral:rRNA from 1 species